rnacentral:tRNA from 1 species
GUGACAGUAGUUCAGCUAGUAGAACACCAGUAUGUGAAACUGGAUGUCGUGAGUGCAAAUCUCAUCUGUUACC